CGCGAUGUGAGUGGUAAGAUGGCGGCCGGAUAGCUUCAAUCUGACGAGCCUGUGAGCUCUCCAGAGUUUUACGUAGGGCUCAGUGGGCGGAGCAGCGGUAGUUGGAGUAGAAGUCGAAGGAGGAGAGGAGUGAAUGUCUAUAUCUCGGAUAUACAUUUUGUCUGAAAUAAAGAGCUCCCGAGUUCGCACCACUCCAGACCGCUAGGUGGAGAUAAAUACACAUCAUCUGAGAACGGCUUUAAGUCGAAGAGCUAGAAGAUAACGCGUAUGCGCACAGUAUGUACAGUCUUCAGUUGCCCCCUGAGGAUGUCAGUGCUCAGAGGAAAGAUGCUUUCUGAUCCCCCGGAAGUCAGACUGAGGUACUGCAGUCGAGCACGUGCUCGGAGAUGAUUAUGAUGAGGAAGAAGAGGAGGAGGAGGAGGGAGGUUGAUUCUCGUCUCAUCCAGAGUCAUGUUCAUGUUUCAGAGGAGACCUGUGAUGCUUCAAGAUCUUACAUCAGUAUUGACUGAGAUGACUCUCAGUAUCCUGAGUCCCUGGUUGCUUGGGAUUCUAGGAGAUCGGUGUCCCGUGGUGAGGAGAUGCAUGAAUAAAGAACGAUGCUGUAAAUUCAGGUUCCAGUGGACUGUGAUGUAGGAGGCAGCUAUGGUGGUAUGGUUUGAUGGAUGUUUAUGGUCUGCUAUUUUCAUCUGCUUUUGUCAAUGUUUAUUAAAUUAAAACUACUGAAAUACUGA